AUCCACGGCCAUAGGACUCUGAAAGCACCGCAUCCCGUCCGAUCUGCGCAGUUAACCAGAGUGCCGCCCAGUUAGUACCACGG
rnacentral:rRNA from 3 species